UCCCCUCCAUGCAUCUCCGCCGCCGCCGCCCCCCAUAUCCACCGCACGAGGGCUCGCCCGUCCGCGCCGGCGACACGCCUCCACCAUCCAAUCAUCCCAUCCUUGCUCUUCCAGCGUCUGACAUCGGCCGCGUCUACUCCUCCACCGCUCCCUGCCCGCCCCGCAAGAAGCCCCGUAGCUCUGCGUCCGCCGCCGCGGGCGGCAAGCCUCCUGUGAUCGUCUACUACUACUGUCGCCGCAAGAAGUCGCGGCUCGAGGAGCCACGGCCGUCCUCGCUGGUGUCGCGACAGCUGGAGGAGGAGGCGCUGGGCAGGGGCUCAUGGCGGAAGCGCCCGCUCACGAGCUGCUCAGCCUGGGGUCUGCCCCGCCUGCAUUGGGCGCAGAUAGAGACGGGGAGGAGCUGAUGGGGCGACGACAGCCGAGGCGCAGAGGAGAAGGGGGGAGAUAAUGGCUGCGCUGCUCCCGCCCCACGACGAAGUCUGCGUCAAAACUGAAGAAGACGGCUUCGGGGCCAUAGUCCAUGUGGAUUUGUUCAUCAAUUCGUUUCCAUCGGUGGAAGAUGACGGGUGUGAGGUGGCGCCCUGGUCAACAGGAAACGCACACAACGCCACCAUAGCCGAGUUGUAUGGAACGCCUCAAGUCUCUGCUCCACCAACGUCGCCUAUUUGAGCUUUAUUCGUUUUUAUAUUUGCCUAGAAGAUGUUCCAUGAAAAUCACAGAAGCACCGGCUGCACCGCACCGGGUUUAGGCUCGUCAAGAAGGUUGUGGCUGGAAGAUAGUGCAACAAGAACGGCCAACUAGAAUACUUGUUCUUCGUGUAAUUUUGACGCUGGCUUUGUCGCACGUUGGAAAUUCAGGGUGCCGAUCCGCAGGCGUUUGUCGGUUUAGUGUGCAAGGUUUUCUGGCCCAAAGAUGAUGAUUGGUACAAGGGUUCCAUCACGGCCUACACGGAACUAACCAAGAAUUUUGUGAAGUAUGAAGACCUUACCCUAGAUAAUGAAAUGAUAAAUUUUUCAUUUCAUCUGAGGAAAUGAAGUGCCUGAACCUGAAAUUUGGAUCAUCUAACCUGGAUAUAAGAAGGGAUACGAUGAGCUACUUGCACCUGCUGUCAGCUUUCAUGACUACCAAGGUCUUGAUCCAGAUAAUAUAGCGUGGGCUAAAAUAACAGGUACUCCUAUGUCUUUUCCUUAUGAGUGCCGAUGCUUCUAGCUGUUAACUGCGAUUAGAUGCCAAUGGUCCUUUCCAUUUAUUCUUUCUGCCAUCACAAGUUUUAUUGCAUUGUUUGUAGUCAUUGUCCAUAUUACUUUGAACUUUUACAGUGUGAUACUUUAUUUAUUCUAGUGUUUAUGGUAGUUUUGCAUCAACUUACAACUUUAUUAGAUUUCUCAUGCAUAUCACAUGUGUUAGAUGGUUAACUGUCUCUUUUUACAGAAAAUGCUUUCCAAUGUUAAGCCCAGUAUUGAUUUAUUAUUUGAAAUUUUCAUAUUCAUCUCCCCAAUUACCCGGCAUUAACUUUUUAUUUUAUAAUUUAGUCCUAUUUUCCUCCACAUUCCUA